rnacentral:tRNA from 1 species
GCCUUCGUGGUGUAGUGGUCAGCCCGCUCGAAGUGUGACCAAGAGGUCCGUGGUUCGAUUCCCGGCGAAGGCG